rnacentral:rRNA from 1 species
UACGUAGGGGGCAAGCGUUGUCCGGAUUUAUUGGGCGUAAAGAGCGUGUAGGCGGCCUUACAGGUCAGCUGUGAAAACUCGAGGCUCAACCUCGAGAGGUCGGUUGAAACCGUAAGGCUAGAGUCCGGAAGAGGAGAGUGGAAUUCCCGGUGUAGCGGUGAAAUGCGGCAGAUAUCGGAAGAACACCCGUGGCGAAGGCG